rnacentral:rRNA from 1 species
GCAAUGGGAGCGGCAGACGGGAGAGUAACACGUGGGAACGUACCCUUCAGUUCGGAACAACCCAGGGAAACUUGGGCUAAUACCGAAUACGUCCGUAAGGAGAAAGAUUUAUCGCUGAAGGAUCGGCCCGCGUCUGAUUAGCUAGUUGGUGAGGUAACGGCUCACCAAGGCGACGAUCAGUAGCUGGUCUGAGAGGAUGAUCAGCCUCAUUGGGACUGAGACACGGCCCAAACUCCUACGGGAGGCAGCAGUGGGGAAUAUUGGACAAUGGGCGCAAGCCUGAUCCAGCCAUGCCGCGUGGAUGAUGAAGGCCUUAGGG